CUACCCGCUGUGCUAUCGCUUUGGCUAAGAUCAAGUGUAGUAUCUGUUCUUAUCAGUUUAAUGGUUUAAUUAAUGCUGAUAUUUCCAAAAUAAUUACACGUUAUACAAAAAAAUAGAUACUCCCAUAAUCUUGACAUUCAUGCUAGCGAAUUUUGAUUUAUAUAGGUUUUGACCUAAGCCUUGUUUUU